rnacentral:rRNA from 1 species
AGAGUUUGAUCCUGGCUCAGAUUGAACGCUGGCGGCAGGCCUAACACAUGCAAGUCGAGCGGCAGCGGGAAAGUAGCUUGCUACUUUUGCCGGCGAGCGGCGGACGGGUGAGUAAUGCCUGGGAAAUUGCCCAGUCGAGGGGGAUAACAGUUGGAAACGACUGCUAAUACCGCAUACGCCCUACGGGGGAAAGCAGGGGACCUUCGGGCCUUGCGCGAUUGGAUAUGCCCAGGUGGGAUUAGCUUGUUGGUGAGGUAAUGGCUCACCAAGGCGACGAUCCCUAGCUGGUCUGAGAGGAUGAUCAGCCACACUGGAACUGAGACACGGUCCAGACUCCUACGGGAGGCAGCAGUGGGGAAUAUUGCACAAUGGGGGAAACCCUGAUGCAGCCAUGCCGCGUGUGUGAAGAAGGCCUUCGGGUUGUAAAGCACUUUCAGCGAGGAGGAAAGGUUGAUGCCUAAUACGCAUCAGCUGUGACGUUACUCGCAGAAGAAGCACCGGCUAACUCCGUGCCAGCAGCCGCGGUAAU